GACGAACGCUGGCGGCGUGCUUAACACAUGCAAGUCGAACGCUGAAGCUCAGCUUUUGUUGGGUGGAUGAGUGGCGAACGGGUGAGUAACACGUGAGUAACCUGCCUCCUUCUUUGGGAUAACGCCCGGAAACGGGUGCUAAUACUGGAUAUUCACUGGUCUUCGCAUGGGGGUUGGUGGAAAGGGUUUUUCUGGUGGGGGAUGGGCUCGCGGCCUAUCAGCUUGUUGGUGGGGUGAUGGCCUACCAAGGCUUUGACGGGUAGCCGGCCUGAGAGGGUGACCGGUCACAUUGGGACUGAGAUACGGCCCAGACUCCUACGGGAGGCAGCAGUGGGGAAUAUUGCACAAUGGGCGCAAGCCUGAUGCAGCGCCGCCGCGUGAGGGAUGGCGGCCUUCGGGUUGUGAACCUCUUUCGCUCAUGGUCAAGCCGCAACAAUGGUUGUGGUGAGGGUAGUGGGUAAAGAAGCGCCGGCUAACUACGUG
rnacentral:rRNA from 1 species